AUUUUUUAUUGCUCAUUUACACCCUUGUCUUUCAGAUUGAAGAACUUCCUUUAGGAUUCUUGUAGGAAAUGUUUGGUGUUCAUGAAAUCCUUCAGCUUUUGUUUUGUCUGGGAAAAUCUGUAUUUCUCCUUCAUGUUUGAAGGGCAUUUUCACUAGGUAUACUAUUUAAGGAUUUUUUUUUUCUUCAUCACUUUAAAUAUGUCAUGGUGCCACUCUCUCCUAGCCUGUAAGGUUUCCACUGAAAAGUCUGCUUCCAGAUCAACUUUUAUUUUACAUUCAGUGAAUAUGUGUGCAGGUUUCUUACAAAUGUAUAUUGGAUAAUGCUGAGAUUUGAGGUACAAUUCAACCUGUCACUCAGGCUGGAGUGCAGUGGCGCGAUCUCGGCUCACUGCAGGCUCCGCCUCCCGGGUUCAUGCCAUUCUCCGGCCUCAGCCUCUCGAGUAGCUGGGACUACAGGCGCCCACCACCAUGCCCAGCUAAUUUUUUGUAUUUUUUUUAGUAGAGACUAAAGGUUUCAC
rnacentral:lncRNA from 1 species